rnacentral:rRNA from 1 species
GACGAACGCUGGCGGCGUGCUUAACACAUGCAAGUCGAACGCUGAAGCCCUUUCGGGGGUGGAUGAGUGGCGAACGGGUGAGUAACACGUGGGUAAUCUGCCCUGCACUCUGGGAUAAGCCUUGGAAACGGGGUCUAAUACCGGAUAGGACACAUCGCCGCAUGGUGUGUGUGUGGAAAGUUCCGGCGGUGCAGGUUGAGCCCGCGGCCUAUCAGCUGGUUGGUGGGGUGAUGGCCUACCAAGGCGACGACGGGUAGCCGGCCUGAGAGGGUGACCGGCCAGUCUGGGACUGAGACACGGGCCAGAAUCCGACGGGAGGGAGCAGUGGAGAAUCUUGCGCAAUGGGCGAAAGCCUGACGCAGCAACGCCGCGUGGGGGAUGACGGCCUUCGGGUUGUAAACCUCUUUCGACCGGGACGAAGGGUGACUGACGGUACCGGUAGAAGAAGCACCGGCUAACUACGUGCCAGCCGCCGCGGUAA